rnacentral:rRNA from 1 species
AUUGAACGCUGGCGGCAGGCUUAACACAUGCAAGUCGAGCGAGGUGAGGUGCUUCGGUACUGAUCCUAGCGGCGGACGGGUGAGUAAUGCUUAGGAAUCUGCCAUUUAGUGGGGGACAACAUUCCGAAAGGAAUGCUAAUACCGCAUACGUCCUACGGGAGAAAGCAGGGGAUCUUCGGACCUUGCGCUAAAUGAUGAGCCUAAGUCGGAUUAGCUAGUUGGUGGGGUAAAGGCCUACCAAGGCGACGAUCUGUAGCGGGUCUGAGAGGAUGAUCCGCCACACUGGGACUGAGACACGGCCCAGACUCCUACGGGAGGCAGCAGUGGGGAAUAUUGGACAAUGGGCGGAAGCCUGAUCCAGCCAUGCCGCGUGUGUGAAGAAGGCCUUAUGGUUGUAAAGCACUUUAAGCGAGGAGGAGGCUACCUGGAUUAAUACUCUGGGAUAGUGGACGUUACUCGCAGAAUAAGCACCGGCUAACUCUGUGCCAGCCGCCGCAGUAACAC